ensembl:lncRNA
GUGACCCCAUGAACUGGGGGUCAGGUUCCUCUGUCCAUGGGAUUCUCCAGGCCAGAAUACUGGAGUGGGUAGCCUUUCCCUUUUCCAGAGGAUCUUCCCGACCCAGGGAUUGAACCCAGGUCUCUGGCAUUGUAGGCAGAUUCUUUACCGGCUGAGCCCCCAGGUUGUUUGUCAGAGUGAAAUUGAAGUUGGAAAGUGAAUUUAGUGUAGGUGAGUGGUGUGCUCAGGAGUCGAUCGCUAAAGGUGUUACUCAAUGUCAGCGCUCCCUGGGAGUCCUUGGCUUUCUGGACCUCUUUCUUUGUGUUGAUUCUUAAGUGAGACCCCCUAUGGAAGGCUGCGGGGAGAAGGGACAGCCUUCCUGGAGCUAUUCUUGAUGAGGAAACUGAACAACAAAGAGGUUAACUGUUUUGCUUUGGGUGACCUUGAUACCCAGUGAAGAGGCUGAGAGAAGAACCUGGAGCAUCUGACCGGGAUGAAGCACCGACUUUAUGCUCCCAUGGGGUGUGCUUAACACCCUUCAGACUUAGCUUCCUUGUCUGUAAUUGGGGCCGUUCAUUUCCUUUUUUUUUUUUUUCGUUCAUUUCUAUACUCAGCCAGUUGGUGGUGAGUUUGCGUUUGCAAGAGAAUAUGAAUAAAGUAUCAAGCACGUUAUAGCCCAGUGCACAGUGGUUACCUGUUACCAUUGCUGUCUUUUUCCCUGGUGAUCCAGUGGCCAGAACUCCACACUCCCAAUGCAGGGUCCCAGGUUCAGUGCUUGGUCAGGGAACUAGAUCCCACGUGCUGCAACU